rnacentral:rRNA from 1 species
CCUACGGGUGGCAGCAGUAGGGAAUCUUCCACAAUGGGCGAAAGCCUGAUGGAGCAACGCCGCGUGGGUGAAGAAGGUCUUCGGAUCGUACAACCCUGUUGUUAGAGAAGAAAGUGCGUGAGAGUAACUGUUCACGUUUCGACGGUAUCUAACCAGAAAGCCACGGCUAACUACGUGCCAGCAGCCGCGGUAAUACGUAGGUGGCAAGCGUUAUCCGGAUUUAUUGGGCGUAAAGGGAACGCAGGCGGUCUGUUAAGUCUGAUGUGACAGCCUUCGGCUUAACCGGAGUAGUGCAUUGGAAACUGGGAGACUUGAGUGCAGAAGAGGAGAGUGGAACUACAUGUGUAGCGGUGAAAGGCGUAGAUAUAUGGAAGAACACCAGUGGCGAAAGCGGCUCUCUGGUCUGUAACUGACGCUGAGGUUCGAAAGCGUGGGUAGCAAACAGGAUUAGAUACCCGAGUAGUC